AUAAUAUCAAUAUAAUCGAAUUCCACAACUACAUUCUCAAGGUUUAGAUUCUUCAGCCAGGAGAGAGACUCCCUAAUUGCCAUCAGUUCAACCAUUUUUAGCUAAAAAAAGGGGAAUGUACCCAAGCAACCACGGAUAAAAACCCCCAGCAUGGUCAUGAUCGAUAGCUGCAAAAGAAGAACGACUCGACGCAGAAGAGGUAGCGUCAUUGACGUUUCAUUUAGCCCAACCACCAGUCAGCUUUUCCCAGGUGGCCCGACAGCUCCUCCUCCUAGUCGAAGCUAACUACACCCAGGUGAAGAUAACAUGAGCAUUGCGCCACUCCUGAAGAAAUCGGUUUACUUUAUCGAGAAUCAUGGUAGCCGUAGCAUCAGUUUGCUUCCAAACAAACAAGUUCCUGUGAAACCAUAAGCUCCAAGACAAAGUUAAAAUUCUGCAGCUCAUUGAAGGAUUAUUAGAUUGAAUGCGAAACCAUGAAAAAUCUACAGCCGGAAGAUGAUGGAAAUAAAGCCCAAUUGCAUUCAAAACUUCCACCGCUUUGUUGCAUUGUAAUAAAACAUGAUCCAUAGUCUCCAACUCCCCAUACGGCGAACAAGAUAGAUCGAUGGAGCUGCCUCGUUCAGCGAGUUGGCUUUUACACGAUAGAAAAAUUAAGCAAACACCUUCACGUAAAAUCCCUAACCUCCGGGGGCAACUCUAAAUUCCAUAACAACACCCAAAGGCCUUCCACUACUGGGGACAUCAAAUUAGUCAUAGUAGUCACAACCAUCCUAUAGCCCAACUUUACUUCAUAAGAGUCAAAACGAGUAUAGUGCCAAAUGAUUCGAUCAGGAGGUUUAGCAAAUGAAACAGAGGCCUUCAAAAUACGAGUAGCAUCAUAUGGAGUCAUAGUCCCUUC
rnacentral:lncRNA from 1 species